rnacentral:lncRNA from 1 species
UUGAUGCAUUUUGAACAUGUGAUACAUUCACAGCCUUCAAGACUCAAGAGGUACAAAGGGGUCCACGGGGAAAGUCUCCCUCCCGCCCUACCUUGCAGCUCUCCAGCUCCUCCCUAGGAGUAGCCAGUUCCUUGUACACCCAUCCAGGAGGCUUUAUCCUCAUGCAAGCAAAUGUGGAUGUGCGUUUCUUCCUUUCUCAAGAAAAUAGCGGCUACGUCACACAUUAU